rnacentral:rRNA from 1 species
UGAGGAAUAUUGGUCAAUGGACGAGAGUCUGAACCAGCCAAGUAGCGUGCAGGAUGACGGCCCUAUGGGUUGUAAACUGCUUUUGUUUGGGAAUAAUCGACAUUACGUGUAAUGUUUUGCAUGUACCAUUCGAAUAAGGACCGGCUAAUUCCGUGCCAGCAGCCGCGGUAAUACGGAAGGUCCAGGCGUUAUCCGGAUUAUUGGGUUUAAAGGGAGUGUAGGCGGUUGGUUAAGCGUGUUGUGAAAUGUAGAUGCUCAACAUCUGACUUGCAGCGCGAACUGACUGACUUGAGUACACACAACGUAGGCGGAAUUCAUGGUGUAGCGGUGAAAUGCUUAGAUAUCAUGAAGAACUCCGAUUGCGAAGGCAGCUUACGGGAGUGUUACUGACGCUUAAGCUCGAAGGUGCGGGUAUCGAACAGG